GAAUACCUGCAGGGAAUAGGUUGCUAAGAUAUUAGCAUUAAUAGGGAAUUCGGUGUGAUACCGAAGCUGUUUCCGCAACUGUAAGUGCCGAUGAAAUAAGAAGCAAACCACUGUUUGCAACAUCGAAAACGGGAAGGUUCUUAAAGUAAAAUGACGCACAAGCCAGGAGACCUGCCUAUUCUUGAACGUAACA
rnacentral:ncRNA from 2 species